AAAAUCAAUUUUUUUUUUUUUGUAUUUAACUAUUAUGUAUAUGUCUUCCGUUAACGGCUGCGCGAAGCCGAAAAACACUAACAUCCGAGCGCGAUGUUGUUCACACGUCGAGUCCCGGAAUCCGUAUAAAACCCGGCGCGAUCCGACACUGCUGUGGCUGUCGUGUAUUAUAAUUCUGCGCUAGCUGGCUCGAGGCAGCGCCACCGUCCAAAUGAGCGAGUGGCAUUUUUGUGGAGAAGAUCGAAGUGCAUGUUGCCUUCGUUCGUGCGCGUUCGAAUCGAAACAGAAAAACUACAGCCAUGCCAGAAGCAGCGGUGGCGGCCGGUUCGUUUCGAUCGGGGAUCGUGUAUAAAAUAGCUUCUGGUUCUGAUGAUGUUAAGUAGAGAGGUAGCAUGAUUCGCUUCACACAAAAAGUGCCGGAGAAUCAAACCACCAUCAAUUCAAUUCAUAAGAUUGGCUGAGAUACAAUUUUACUCAAAUCAACAUUGACUGGAGAGUCAUCCAAGUGACCGCUCUAUUUUGAUUACUUGAGGAGAUAUUCCAGAUAUUUUUAAAAUUAAAGUUGACACAAAAAGAACUAUGAAUUCUGUUCUUUUUUGGUAUUUUAAGAAUGAAUA